rnacentral:rRNA from 1 species
AGUAAAAGUCGUAACAAGGUUUCCGUAGGUGAACCUGCGGAAGGAUCAUUAACGAAUCUUAUUCUUACUAUUCGUGAACUUAUGAAUUGUUUGGGGGUUUUAAAAGUUUCGUGCUUUUUGGCCCCCAAGUUUAAAACCAUUAAAACUGUUGACUGAAGAAAGAUUUUAAAUUCUUAAAACUUUCAACAACGGAUCUCUUGGUUCUCGCAUCGAUGAAGAACGCAGCGAAAUGCGAUACGUAAUGUGAAUUGCAGAAUUGUGAAUCAUCGAAUUUUUGAACGCACAUUGCGCCUUGUGGUAUUCCACAAGGCAUGUCUGUUUGAGCGUCAUUUCCUCUCAUAAAACCUUUGGUUUUGUGUGUUGACCGAUGCCUGUAUUGGCAUCGGUUGAAAAGGAAUCGCAAGUCUUUCAAACGUUUUAGGUCUAACCACUCGUUCGAGACAGGCGUAACAACCGCUCCAAAAUUUGACCUCAAAUCAGACAGGAUUACCCGCUGAACUUAAGCAUAUCAAUAAGCGGAGGAAA